rnacentral:rRNA from 1 species
UACGUAGGUGGCAAGCGUUGUCCGGAUUUACUGGGCGUAAAGGGCGUGCAGGCGGUCUGUUAAGUCUAGGGUGAAAGCUCCCGGCUCAACUGGGAGAGGUCCUUGGAUACUGGCGGACUUGAGGGAGGCAGAGGAAAGCGGAAUUCCCGGUGUAGUGGUGAAAUGCGUAGAUAUCGGGAGGAACACCUGAGGCGAAGGCGGGCUACUGGGCCGAUACUGACGCUGAUGCGCGAAAGCCAGGGGAGCGAACGGG